AGAGUUUGAUCCUGGCUCAGAAUCAACGCUGGCGGCGUGCCUAACACAUGCAAGUCGAACGAGAAAGUGGAGCAAUCCAUAAGUACAGUGGCGUACGGGUGAGUAACACGUGACUAACCUGCCCUCGAGUGGGGAAUAACCUCGGGAAACCGGGGCUAAUACCGCAUAACAUCUACGGAUCAAAUGCGUAAGCAGCUUGAGGAGGGGGUCGCGGCCGAUUAGCUAGUUGGCGGGGUAAUGGCCCACCAAGGCAAUGAUCGGUAGCCGGCCUGAGAGGGCGCACGGCCACACUGGAACUGAAACACGGUCCAGACUCCUACGGGAGGCAGCAGUGGGGAAUUUUGCGCAAUGGGGGAAACCCUGACGCAGCAACGCCGCGUGGAGGAUGAAGCCCCUUGGGGUGUAAACUCCUUCGAUCGGGACG
rnacentral:rRNA from 1 species